GGUCACUGCUAUUGGGAUUCGAUUAAGCCAUGCGAGUCGAGAGGGUUCGGCCCUCGGCUGACUGCUCAGUAACACGUGGAUAAUCUGCCCUUAGGUGGAGGAUAACCUUGGGAAACUGAGGAUAAUACUCCAUAGAUCUAGGAUGCUGGAAUGCGCUUAGAUUGAAAACCCUGGUGCCUAAGGAUGAGUCCGUGGACUAUCAGGUAGUAGUCAGGGUAACGACCUGACUAGCCUACGACGGAUACGGGUUGUGAGAGCAAUUGCCCGGAGAUGAUGUCUGAGACACGAUAUCAGGUCCUACGGGACGCAGCAGGCGCGAAAACUUCACAAUGUGCGAAAGCACGAUGAGGGAAUCCCAAGUGCCGAUUCGAAAGAGUCGGCUGUUUCUCUGUCUAAAAAACAGUGAGAGUAAGAGCUGGGUAAGACGGGUGCCAGCCGCCGCGGUAAUACCUGCAGCUCAAGUGGUGAUCGCUAUAUUGGGCCUAAAACGUCCGUAGCCGGUUUAGUAAAUGCCUGGGUAAAUCGUCUGGCUUAACCAGACGAAUUCCGGGUAGACUGCUAAACUUGAGACCGGAAGAAGCUAGAAGUACUCCCGGGGUAGAGGUGAAAUUCUGUAAUCCUAGGGGGACUACCAGUGGCGAAGGCGUCUAGCUAGAACGGGUCUGACGGUGAGGGACGAAACCCUGGGGCGCAAACCGGAUUAGAUACCCGGGUAGUCCAGGGCGUAAACGCUGCUCGCUUGAUGUUAGGUGGGCUACGAGCCCAACUAGUGUCGGAGAGAAGUUGUUAAGCGAGCUGCCUGGGAAGUACGUUCGCAAGGAUGAAACUUAAAGGAAUUGGCGGGGGAGCACAGCAACGGGUGGAGCGUGCGGUUUA
rnacentral:rRNA from 1 species